GUUAGCUGGGUCUUCAUGUGUGUCUGGUGUUAGCUGGGUCUUCAUGUGUGUCUGGUGUUAGCUGGGUCUUCAUGUGUGUCUGGUGUUAUCUAGUUACUGGUUAGCUGGGUCUUCAUCUGUGUCUGGUGUUAGCUGGUUACUGGUUAGCUAGGUCCUCAUCUGUGUCUGGUGUUAGCUGGGUCUUCAUCCGUGUCUGGUGUUAGCUAGGUCUUCAUCUGUGUCUGGUGUUAGUUAUCUAGUUACUGGUUAGCUGAGUCUUCAUCUGUGUCUGGUGUUAGCUAGUUACUGGUUAGCUAGGUCUUCAUCUGUGUCUGGUGUUAUCUAGUUACUGGUUAGCUAGGUCUUCAUCUGUGUCUGGUGUUAGCUAGGUCUUCAUCUGUGUCUGGUGUUAGCUAGGUCUUCAUCUGUGUCUGGUGUUAGCUAGGUCUUCAUCUGUGUCUGGUGUUAGCUAGGUCUUCAUCUGUGUCUGGUGUUAGCUAGGUCUUCAUCUGUGUCUGGUGUUAGCUAGGUCUUCAUCUGUGUCUGGUGUUAGCUAGGUCUUCAUCUGUGUCUGGUGUUAGCUAGGUCUUCAUCUGUGUCUGGUGUU